rnacentral:misc_RNA from 1 species
AAGUCGUAACAAGGUUUCCGUAGGUGAACCUGCGGAAGGAUCAUUAGAGAUUGCGGCGAGAGCCGUCAAAACUCAAAUCACACAUCACCGUGAACCGUGGGCCUCGGCCCGUUUACAAACAAUAUUUGGUACAGAACGUGAUACACUAGUAACAUUAUAAAACUUUCAACAACGGAUCUCUUGGCUCUC